rnacentral:rRNA from 1 species
CCUACGGGGGGCAGCAGUAGGGAAUAUUGCUCAAUGGGGGAAACCCUGAAGCAGCAACGCCGCGUGGAGGAUGAAGGUUUUCGGAUUGUAAACUCCUUUUGUUAGAGAAGAGAAUGACGGUAGCUAACGAAUAAGCACCGGCUAACGCCGUGCCAGCAGCCGCGGUAAUACGGAGGGUGCAAGCGUUACUCGGAAUCACUGGGCGUAAAGAGCGCGGAGGCGGGAUAGCAAGUCAGAUGUGAAAUCCUAUGGCUUAACCAUAGAACUGCAUUUGAAACUGUUAUUCUAGAGUAUGGGAGAGGUAGGUGGAAUUCUUGGUGUAGUGGUCAAAUCCUUAGAUCUCACGAG